rnacentral:rRNA from 1 species
GAACGCUAGCUACAGGCUUAACACAUGCAAGUCGAGGGGCAGCAUGGUCUUAGCUUGCUAAGGCCGAUGGCGACCGGCGCACGGGUGAGUAACACGUAUCCAACCUGCCGUCUACUCUUGGACAGCCUUCUGAAAGGAAGAUUAAUACAAGAUGGCAUCAUGAGUCCGCAUGUUCACAUGAUUAAAGGUAUUCCGGUAGACGAUGGGGAUGCGUUCCAUUAGAUAGUAGGCGGGGUAACGGCCCACCUAGUCUUCGAUGGAUAGGGGUUCUGAGAGGAAGGUCCCCCACAUUGGAACUGAGACACGGUCCAAACUCCUACGGGAGGCAGCAGUGAGGAAUAUUGGUCAAUGGGCGAGAGCCUGAACCAGCCAAGUAGCGUGAAGGAUGACCGCCCUAUGGGUUGUAAACUUCUUUUAUAAAGGAAUAAAGUCGGGUAUGGAUACCCGUUUGCAUGUACUUUAUGAAUAAGGAUCGGCUGACUCCGUGCCAGCAGCCGCGGUAAUACGGAGGAUCCGAGCAUUAUCCGGAUUUAUUGGGUUUAAAGGGAGCGUAGAUGGAUGUUUAAGUCAGUUGUGAAAGUUUGCGGCUCAACCGUAAAAUUGCAGUUGAUACUGGAUAUCUUGAGUGCAGUUGAGGCAGGCGGAAUUCGUGGUGUAGCGGUGAAAUGCUUAGAUAUCACGAAGAACUCCGAUUGCGAAGGCAGCCUGCUAAGCUGCAACUGACAUUGAGGCUCGAAAGUGUGGGUAUCAAACAGGAUUAGAUACCCUGGUAGUCCACACGGUAAACGAUGAAUACUCGCUGUUUGCGAUAUACUGCAAGCGGCCAAGCGAAAGCGUUAAGUAUUCCACCUGGGGAGUACGCCGGCAACGGUGAAACUCAAAGGAAUUGACGGGGGCCCGCACAAGCGGAGGAACAUGUGGUUUAAUUCGAUGAUACGCGAGGAACCUUACCCGGGCUUAAAUUGCAGAUGAAUUACGGUGAAAGCCGUAAGCCGCAAGGCAUCUGUGAAGGUGCUGCAUGGUUGUCGUCAGCUCGUGCCGUGAGGUGUCGGCUUAAGUGCCAUAACGAGCGCAACCCUUGUUGUCAGUUACUAACAGGUUGCGCUGAGGACUCUGACAAGACUGCCAUCGUAAGAUGUGAGGAAGGUGGGGAUGACGUCAAAUCAGCACGGCCCUUACGUCCGGGGCUACACACGUGUUACAAUGGGGGGUACAGAGGGCCGCUACCACGCGAGUGGAUGCCAAUCCCCAAAACCUCUCUCAGUUCGGACUGGAGUCUGCAACCCGACUCCACGAAGCUGGAUUCGCUAGUAAUCGCGCAUCAGCCACGGCGCGGUGAAUACGUUCCCGGGCCUUGUACACACCGCCCGUCAAGCCAUGGGAGCCGGGGGUACCUGAAGUGCGUAACCGCGAGGAGCGCCCUAGGGUAAAACUGGUGACUGGGGCUAA